UACGUAGGGGGCAAGCGUUGUCCGGAUUUAUUGGGCGUAAAGCGCUCGCAGGUGGUCCGUCGCGUCGAGUGUGAAAGCCCCCGGCUCAACUGGGGAGGGUCAUUCGAUACUGAUCGACUCGAAGGCAGGAGAGGGUAGUGGAAUUCCCGGUGUAGUGGUGAAAUGCGUAGAUAUCGGGAGGAACACCAGUGGCGAAGGCGACUACCUGGCCUGUUCUUGACGCUGAGGCGCGAAAGCUAGGGGAGCAAACGGG
rnacentral:rRNA from 1 species